UACGUAGGGCGCAAGCGUUGUCCGGAAUUAUUGGGCGUAAAGAGCUCGUAGGCGGUCUGUUGCGUCCGCUGUGAAAACUCGGGGCUUAACCCCGAGCCUGCAGUGGAUACGGGCAGACUAGAGGUAGGUAGGGGAGAAUGGAAUUCCCGGUGUAGCGGUGAAAUGCGCAGAUAUCAGGAGGAACACCGGUGGCGAAGGCGGGUCUCUGGGCAGUAACUGACGCUGAGGAGCGAAAGCGUGGGGAGCGAACAGG
rnacentral:rRNA from 1 species